rnacentral:rRNA from 1 species
CCUACGGGAGGCAGCAGUGGGGGAUAUUGCACAAUGGGGGAAACCCUGAUGCAGCGACGCCGCGUGGGUGAAGAAGCGCCUCGGCGCGUAAAGCCCUGUCAGCAGGGAAGAAAAUGACGGUACCUGAAGAAGAAGCCCCGGCUAACUACGUGCCAGCAGCCGCGGUAAUACGUAGGGGGCAAGCGUUAUCCGGAUUUAUUGGGUUUAAGGGGAGCGUAGGCCGCAUGUCAAGCGUGCUGUGAAAUGUCCGGGCUCAACCCGGGCCUUGCAGCGCGAACUGGCGUGCUUGAGUCCGCGGAAAGCAGGCGGAAUUCGUCGUGUAGCGGUGAAAUGCUUAGAUAUGACGAAGAACCCCGAUUGCGAAGGCAGCUUGCUGCAGCGGAACUGACGCUGAUGCUCGAAAGCGCGGGUAUCGAACAGGAUUAGAUACCCUAGUAGUC